GCCCAGGUGGUGGAACUGGUAGACACGCAUGCUUGAGGGGCAUGUGGGAAUCUCCCGUAUGGGUUCAAGUCCCGUCCUGGGCA
rnacentral:tRNA from 2 species